rnacentral:lncRNA from 1 species
GCCACAUUUAUUGUUAAACAGGGAAGGAAUUUUUAAAAAAGUUUUAAGAAUCGUUCGUCACUUCAUUUUUAGAAAUGUUCUACCUGUAUAUGGUAAUGUCCAGUUUUAUGGCUAUAAUACUCUAGAAGAAAAAAAUCCCUAAAUGGAUACAGAUUCCUAAAGUAAUAGUGGCAGCAGAUGUUUCAGUGAACUUUUAUCUUGACACUUUUAAAUAGAAGUAAUGCCAGAGCUGAAAUUUUUAAGGCACUUACAGCUUGUAUCGAAAUUAUUGGAGACAUGGUUUCUUCAUUAGCUAUUUUGAGAACUGUGGAGUUAUGCAAGAUUUUUAAAAAGUGGCACCAGGGGGCCAGUUGUGGUGGCUCACGCUUGUAAUCCCAGCACUUUGGGAGGCCAAGGCAGGCGGAUCACCUGAAGUUAGGAGUUCAAGACCAGCCUGGACAAUGUGGUGAAACCUCGUCUCUACUAAAAAUACAAAAAAUUAGCGGGGUGUGGUGGCGCAUGCCUGUAAUCCCACCUACUCGGGAGGCUGAGGCAGGAGAAUCCCUUGAACCUGGGAGGCGGAGGUUGCGGUGAGCUGAGAUCACGCCAUUACACUCCGGACUGGGCAACAAGAGCAAAACUCCGUCUCAAAAAAAAAAUGUGGCAUCAGGUACUAUACAUCUAGUUAGUUCCUUUACUCUGUUUUAUUUUUUAAAUGAAAGUAGGAUACAUCAUUUCCAGGACUGUCAAUAUAUUUGGGGCUUGUUUUUGGUAUGGAUUUGGAUGGAGGAUAUUAAGUAUUCAUUCAUUCUAAUUUUGUUAUUUUUCUAAUUGCCAGAGAUGGUUGCACUGAAAUAGAAACACAUUACAGGGAGUUGCAUACAAAGCCUAAAUGUGUACUGGAUUUUGAAAAUACUAGAUUGGUGCAGUUACUUUUGCGCCAACCUAAUAUGUCUUUAGGAAAGUACUAGUAUGUGGAAAGAAACAAUAGGUAUUAAAAGGUUUAAAGGAAUGAGAAAUAGGAAGUUGCUAGAACCUAACGGAUGUUGACUUUAAAGGUAAGAUUGUUCAGGUAUAUUAGUGGACAUCUAGUCCAAUGCUAUAGCAAAUUCCAGAGGUCUCAGGUGCAUGCAAUUCUACUUUCUAAAGAAAGUAAACACUUAGAAAAUAGAUUCUAACCCAGACAUUUGGAUUAUACUGAGAUAAAUAUGUAAAUAAGUUUUAGCAAGUCUGAACACUGACAAGCCAGGUCUUCAGGUUAACUAAGAAAAGCCCAGAAACUUCAUCAUUUACUGUGCUUUGUAUGCCAUAACUGGUAACAAGGCAGUAAAAUGAUACAUAUUUGAACUGGACCAUAGUAAUUAAAUGAUUUAUCAAUAU